rnacentral:misc_RNA from 1 species
GUUGGUAAAAUUUUCUGUGGUCAUUCUAAUUUACAAUCUGUACAGUAAUUUACACAAACCUCAAUCCUGAAAUGGAAAUGGAGUAGGCUUUUUUUCAGUUUCAGAACCUUCAAAGCCUUCUGCUCUAGCCUCUCGUUCCAGUUUAGGCAACGAAUCAAGCUGCGAAACCAAUCACCCGUUUGAUCAGAUUUGUUAACUGUUGGAAGUGGGUGC